UCAUUAUUGUUAAUCUUGAUACCAUUUACCUUGAAGUCUCAAUAAUAAUUAGAACUCAAAGUUGAAUGCUUCUUUCACUCAUUAAGUUGACAUUCCAUGA